rnacentral:misc_RNA from 1 species
UACUCUCACACUUCCGAUUGUUUGGAUCGGGAGCGGUGGACUUGGGUGUUGCUGCUUUACUGCGGCUCACCUUAAAUGCAGUAGUGCACCUUUCGGUUGGACAUAGUACGGCGUGAUAAGUGUCUUCGCCGGCACCUCGCAGAGGGUGUCCGAUCGAGAGCUCUGUGCUUCAAACCGUCUUCGGACAACAACUGACA